AGCGAACGCUGGCGGCAGGCCUAACACAUGCAAGUCGAACGAACCCUUCGGGGUUAGUGGCGGACGGGUGAGUAACACGUGGGAACGUGCCUUUAGGUUCGGAAUAACUCAGGGAAACUUGUGCUAAUACCGAAUGUGCCCUUCGGGGGAAAGAUUUAUCGCCUUUAGAGCGGCCCGCGUCUGAUUAGCUAGUUGGUGAGGUAAAGGCUCACCAAGGCUACGAUCAGUAGCUGGUCUGAGAGGAUGACCAGCCACAUUGGGACUGAGACACGGCCCAAACUCCUACGGGAGGCAGCAGUGGGGAAUCUUGCGCAAUGGGCGAAAGCCUGACGCAGCCAUGCCGCGUGGAUGAUGAAGGUCUUAGGAUUGUAAAAUCCUUUCACCGGUGAAGAUAAUGACUGUAGCCGGAGAAGAAGCCCCGGCUAACUUCGUGCCAGCAGCCGCGGUAAGAC
rnacentral:rRNA from 1 species